UACGGAGGGUGCGAGCGUUGUCCGGAAUCACUGGGCGUAAAGGGCGCGUAGGCGGCGCGACAAGGCGGCGGUGAAAGUCCGGGGCUCAACCCCGGAUCGGCCGUGGCGACUGUCGCGCUCGAGCACAGUAGAGGCGGGUGGAAUUCCGGGUGUAGCGGUGGAAUGCGUAGAUAUCGGGAGGAACAUCAGUGGCGAAGGCGGCCUUCUGGUCCAGUACUGACACUCAAGUGCGAAAGCGUGGGGAGCAAACAGG
rnacentral:rRNA from 1 species